rnacentral:rRNA from 1 species
CACUUGUUGGUGAGGUAAUGGCUCACCCAGGCGUCGACGGGUAGCCGGCCUGAGAGGGUGACCGGCCACACUGGGACUGAGACACGGCCCAGACUCCUACGGGAGGCAGCAGUGGGGAAUAUUGCACAAUGGGCGGAAGCCUGAUGCAGCAACGCCGCGUGAGGGAUGACGGCCUUCGGGUUGUAAACCUCUUUUAGCAGGGAAGAAGCGAGAGUGACGGUACCUGCAGAAAAAGCACCGGCUAACUACGUGCCAGCAGCCGCGGUAAUACGUAGGGUGCAAGCGUUAUCCGGAAUUAUUGGGCGUAAAGAGCUCGUAGGCGGUUUGUCACGUCUGCUGUGAAAUCCCGAGGCUCAACCUCGGGCCUGCAGUGGGUACGGGCAGACUAGAGUGCGGUAGGGGAGAUUGGAAUUCCUGGUGUAGCGGUGGAAUGCGCAGAUAUCAGGAGGAACACCGAUGGCGAAGGCAGAUCUCUGGGCCGUAACUGACGCUGAGGAGCGAAAGGGUGGGGAGCAAACAGGCUUAGAUACCCUGGUAGUCCACCCCGUAAACGUUGGGAACUAGUUGUGGGGUCCAUUCCACG